GUCAUGCCACGCCCUCAAACGAGAAUACCGCGGUGUGAGACUUCCUGUUCCUCUUUACAGCGAUUCUUCGGCAGUUGGACACGUGUUUUCGUUGGAUUCUCUUCAAAUCAUCUAAAACAAAAAACAGUCCCACCUCCUCUUGAAGACAUUUAGCCUCCUGCUAUCGACUUCAGGUUCACAUUAGGGAACAGCAGAGGUCUAAGUGCAACAGGCUCGUGAUGCACAGCAUGAAGUUAUACGUUGCCCACGAGCCAGAUGCAGUUGGAAUAACCAUCAAGUAAUAACCAUGUAUGUUAAUGUGUUGUGCUUUUAAACAAACUGG